GGUGCUGUAGCUCAGUGGCAGAGCAUCUACCUUGGCAUGUAGAGGCACUGGGUUCCAUCUUUAGCACCA
rnacentral:tRNA from 1 species